rfam:Stegodyphus mimosarum contig47821, whole genome shotgun sequence.
GCCUUCGUGGGGUAGUGGUCGUCAGCACGCUCGACUCGUAACCGAGAGGUCCGUGGUUCAAUUCCCGGCGAAGGCG